UACGAAGGGGGCUAGCGUUGCUCGGAAUCACUGGGCGUAAAGCGCACGUAGGCGGAUCUUUAAGUCAGGGGUGAAAUCCCGAGGCUCAACCUCGGAACUGCCUUUGAUACUGGGGAUCUCGAGUCCGGAAGAGGUUGGUGGAACUCCGAGUGUAGAGGUGAAAUUCGUAGAUAUUCGGAAGAACACCAGUGGCGAAGGCGGCCAACU
rnacentral:rRNA from 1 species